UUUCCGUAGGUGAACCUGCGGAAGGAUCAUUACCGAGUGCGGGCUGCCUCCGGGCGCCCAACCUCCCACCCGUGACUACCUAACACUGUUGCUUCGGCGGGGAGCCCCCCAGGGGCGAGCCGCCGGGGACCACUGAACUUCAUGCCUGAGAGUGAUGCAGUCUGAGCCUGAAUACAAAUCAGUCAAAACUUUCAACAAUGGAUCUCUUGGUUCCG
rnacentral:misc_RNA from 1 species